AGAGUUUGAUCAUGGCUCAGAUUGAACGCUGGCGGCAGGCCUAACACAUGCAAGUCGAACGGUAACAGGAAGAAGCUUGCUUCUUUGCUGACGAGUGGCGGACGGGUGAGUAAUGUCUGGGAAACUGCCUGAUGGAGGGGGAUAACUACUGGAAACGGUAGCUAAUACCGCAUAACGUCGCAAGACCAAAGAGGGGGACCUUCGGGCCUCUUGCCAUCGGAUGUGCCCAGAUGGGAUUAGCUAGUAGGUGGGGUAACGGCUCACCUAGGCGACGAUCCCUAGCUGGUCUGAGAGGAUGACCAGCCACACUGGAACUGAGACACGGUCCAGACUCCUACGGGAGGCAGCAGUGGGGAAUAUUGCACAAUGGGCGCAAGCCUGAUGCAGCCAUGCCGCGUGUAUGAAGAAGGCCUUCGGGUUGUAAAGUACUUUCAGCGGGGAGGAAGGGAGUAAAGUUAAUACCUUUGCUCAUUGACGUUACCCGCAGAAGAAGCACCGGCUAACUCCGUGCCAGCAGCCGCGGUAAUACGGAGGGUGCAAGCGUUAAUCGGAAUUACUGGGCGUAAAGCGCACGCAGGCGGUUUGUUAAGUCAGAUGUGAAAUCCCCGGGCUCAACCUGGGAACUGCAUCUGAUACUGGCAAGCUUGAGUCUCGUAGAGGGGGGUAGAAUUCCAGGUGUAGCGGUGAAAUGCGUAGAGAUCUGGAGGAAUACCGGUGGCGAAGGCGGCCCCCUGGACGAAGACUGACGCUCAGGUGCGAAAGCGUGGGGAGCAAAACAGGAUUAGAUACCCUGGUAGUCCACGCCGUAAACGAUGUCGACUUGGAGGUUGUGCCCUUGAGGCGUGGCUUCCGGAGCUAACGCGUUAAGUCGACCGCCUGGGGAGUACGGCCGCAAGGUUAAAACUCAAAUGAAUUGACGGGGGCCCGCACAAGCGGUGGAGCAUGUGGUUUAAUUCGAUGCAACGCGAAGAACCUUACCUGGUCUUGACAUCCACGGAAGUUUUCAGAGAUGAGAAUGUGCCUUCGGGAACCGUGAGACAGGUGCUGCAUGGCUGUCGUCAGCUCGUGUUGUGAAAUGUUGGGUUAAGUCCCGCAACGAGCGCAACCCUUAUCCUUUGUUGCCAGCGGUCCGGCCGGGAACUCAAAGGAGACUGCCAGUGAUAAACUGGAGGAAGGUGGGGAUGACGUCAAGUCAUCAUGGCCCUUACGACCAGGGCUACACACGUGCUACAAUGGCGCAUACAAAGAGAAGCGACCUCGCGAGAGCAAGCGGACCUCAUAAAGUGCGUCGUAGUCCGGAUUGGAGUCUGCAACUCGACUCCAUGAAGUCGGAAUCGCUAGUAAUCGUGGAUCAGAAUGCCACGGUGAAUACGUUCCCGGGCCUUGUACACACCGCCCGUCACACCAUGGGAGUGGGUUGCAAAAGAAGUAGGUAGCUUAACCUUCGGGAGGGCGCUUACCACUUUGUGAUUCAUGACUGGGGUGAAGUCGUAACAAGGUA
rnacentral:rRNA from 1 species